CAGUCGCCGCGGGAAUACGAAGGGGGCUAGCGUUGUUCGGAUCUACUGGGCGUAAAGCGCACGUAGGCGGAUUCUUAAGUCAGAGGUGAAAUCCCAAGGCUCAACCUUGGAACUGCCUUUGAUACUGGGGAUCUUGAGUCCGGGAGAGGUGAGUGGAACUGCGAGUGUAGAGGUGAAAUUCGUAGAUAUUCGCAAGAACACCAGUGGCGAAGGCGGCUCACUGGCCCGGUACUGACGCUGAGGUGCGAAAGCGUGGGGAGCAAACAGGAUUAGAUACCCCGGUAGUCCCUGUCUCUUAUAC
rnacentral:rRNA from 1 species